rnacentral:lncRNA from 1 species
CAUAGGUUACUGGCUUUUUUAAUUGACAGCGGGAGAUCUUCCCCUGAAGGACAGGCUCCACACAGCACAGUAUCCUCACUGCCAAGUGCUCUUCGGGUGUCCGUCUCAGUCUCUGCCAUCAGUAUUUUUAGCAUAUGGCCUUUGGAGCCCGAAGAACAACAUCCACCUCCCAGAACUGGUCCUCCCGCUGACAGAUAGGACUGCAUGAAAGAGGGCACUUCAGAGGCCAACCGAGUCGGCGCAAAUCAGAUGCUAACGGCAACCCCUCCGCCCAGAAAUCCCAAGUGGAAGGACGCCUCUCGUGAAAUUGCCUUCCGUGACAGUUACAGACAGCCUGAAGGGAAUACCUGUCCAGGUGAUACGGGACGAUCAAAAACACCACGAUGUAAACAUCGUUUUCUACAGAUCUCACAACAGGCCCCAAGCCAACCCCGUUGGGAUUCGUAUCAUGCUUUGUUGCACCAGAUGAAGUCUGAUCUGGGACCGUGCCAGAAAACACGGAAGGAAGACGAGAAAGGGUGAAGAGCUUCUAAAUUAGAUUCUGCUGGGGCCAGGAAAGCAGACACGACUGCCGUGGAGAAGAAGGUCAAUGCAAGCAUUUUAAAAUCGUGUCUUCCUUUUCAUGAUAAUCAAACAUUAAAAUGAGUGCGUUCUCUGCUCUCUGGAAGAUACUGUC